UACAGAGGUCCCGAGCGUUGUUCGGAUUCAUUGGGCGUAAAGCGUGCGUAGGUGGUUUGUUAAGUCUGUUGUGAAAGCCCCGGGCUCAACCUGGGAAUGGCAAUGGAUACUGGCAAGCUAGAGUGCGGUAGAGGGUAGUGGAAUUCCCGGUGUAGCGGUGAAAUGCGUAGAGAUCGGGAGGAACACCAGUGGCGAAGGCGGCUACCUGGACCAGCACUGACACUGAGGCACGAAAGCGUGGGGAGCAAACAGG
rnacentral:rRNA from 1 species